UCACAUUCACUAAGUCAUGCGUGAUCAUCAAAUCAUUUGAUUAAUUCCCUUACUCUUACAGACCUGCCUCCCAGGGGAAUACGGUAGUGCUGAGAACAGGGUGUGGACGGACUAAGGGCUGAAGAUGUCCUGGAGACGGGGUGGCGAUGGUGAGUGUGCUUGCUGAGCCCAGGAGACGGACCGCAGCACCGGGCACUCGGGUGGGGUCCAGAGGAGAGGAGCCUCCUGCAGGGACAGCAAAGCUGACGAUAGGACAACAUAAAGCCACUUCUGUCUUUACCUCGCAUUGCCUUUGCACCACAUCCAUGUGGGUGCGGUGCAAAGCUUCUCCCGUUUUAUUCCUAAGUCUGAAACUGCCUAGCGGGAGGAGGGAGAGGAGUGUUCUUUCAUUCUCUAAGGGCCUCCCGUGUGCCGUAUGCUGGGAACUUCUCCUUUCUCAUUUUAUUUCCUUCACGCAACAACCUUGUAAGACGGUAAUUCUCAUCCCUGUAUUACAGAUGGGGCUCGGAGCUCAGUGUGGGGGCAGCUUGCGCAGCAGCCCCCUCCACCCUCUCGCCCCAGGUCACCACUCAGAGGUGCAGCUGAGAUUCCAGCCAAGGCCUGCAGAGCAGAAGCCUGUGCUC
rnacentral:lncRNA from 1 species